GUGUUUGCAGUCAGAGAGUCAAAGGCAAGUGAAGGUGGAAGGAGAGACCGAGUGGCGGAGCGCGGGUAGGAAAGCUGCUGCAGACCCAAGGCAGACGAAGCGACGCACGGACAGAGGGUGCCAUGACAGAACUCCAGGAAGUGCAGAUCACUGAGGAAAAGCCACUACUGCGAGCACCAGGAGCACCUGAUCCGGGCAAGGAUGCUGAACUGGUAACAGCCAAACUUCUACAGGAAUAUGGCCAGGUAAUACUACCAUGCCAUCCU